GCAAGCAUGGUGUAGUGGCCUAAAUGUCAGACUAUGACUCUGGAAACCAGGGUUUGAAUCCCUGCUCAGCCA